GAAUUAGAACAGGAAAGCCAGAUGACAAAUGUGUAAGAGGGAACGAGAUGCCUUCAGUAAUAUUCCCAAAAUCUGUUCGGGUAAAUUCGUUACUCGAAACUACGAAAUUUCUCACGAAAUUACGUACUUCCGUUCAACCUUUCCCUAAUGACGCUUUCUGAGGAAAGUUACAAUUUCUACUCGUCCACUUGGUCCUGAGUCGCGGAAGAGGCAGCAGCGCCGAUCCAGUAGUCUAGCCCCCCGGUGUGUUUAGUGACGUGUCCAACCUUAGCUUAGCUAGUAGUUUGUGCGGUCCGAUUCUGUGUGCGAAGAGGAAUUAAAAGCCGACGACGGCGUUCUGUUCUAGAGUCGGAACCAACCGCCUCCUACCAGCUCGUGCUCGCCACACCGCCACCAAAAGCCUUAGCCGCCCUGCUGACCCCGCGGUCUCAGCGAUCGAGCCCCGGAAGUCCCACUGGGAUCCGGAAGGGAGACCACACGCUACACGUGGCUCCAGGGAGAGCCAUCCAUCGCGCCAGCCGUUCCUGUCCAGC